CGGCAAGGGCGCGUCUACCGCUGUGUCGGCCAACCAAAAACGGGGCUACUGCUGGCUGUAUAAUGAGGGACAGUGCAAGUGGGGGGCCACUUGUCGAUUCAAGCACGAGUGCUCCGGGUGUGGAGGCACCCACGGACUUCACAGGUGUUUCAAAAAAGGGAAGUCAGCCUCCGCAGCAGGGGUGCCUGGAGGUUCGACAGGG